CCCGCGGGGUCGGACGACACGGCUGGCGGAUGGCGUCCCUCCUCUCUACCCUCCCCCUCCCGCCGCCGCCGGUGGCGACUCUCCCCUCGGCCCGUCACCCGUGCUCGCGGGUGACCGUCCUCGGCGCGGCCUCCCUGGAGCCGCCUUCGCCUGACGCCCCUCUUCCUCCCGCCCUCGGCGCGCAUCCCGGCCCCCGGCCCCGCGGGCGCCCUGUCGCCGGGGCUUCGCCUGUCGGGGCUGCGCGCGCUCCUGCCCUUCUCGGGGCUUUGGGCCGCGGCGCCGUCGCGCGCCCGCGGCCCCGGCCUCUCCCUGGAUCGCGCUCUCCCCUCUCCCUCCCUCGCGCGCCCCCUCUCCCGUUACUCGGCCCCCCCACCGGCGCGCGUGCGCACUUCGCCUCCCGUCGGGAGAGUGCGCCACAAGGGCUCCUGAGCUCUCACCCCCAUCUCUGGGCUUUGCCUCCCCCUCCUUCUCGCCCAUUCCAUGAAUUUCUGCCCCCCGCUACCCCCCCGCGAGCGAGUAGGUCCACCGGCUCCUUUCCCCAUCUAGCAGGAACAAGUAGGUGGGGAUUAUUAUCCACAAAAGGGACUAGACAUUGUGUUCUGGGUCCCACAGCUCAUCAUAAAGAGGUGGUUAUAGUUCCCAUCAGGAGCCGUGGGUAGGGGACUGUGCGUCCAGCAGCACCCGAGGCUCUUCGGCGCCUGAGGCUCUAAGGUGCGAGCGUGUCCCCAGGGUGCUCAGAGGUUCUUUGGAGUGCUGUGGCUUCGGAAUGUGAGCACCCUCCCAUCCUACCCUCCCCUUCGCCGGCGAUCUUCCAGUUACAUAAGUGGAGUGGGACAUAGUAGGUAACGGGCUCUCAUCGCCCUGGAGCGCUCGGGAUCACCGGUACCAGAUGGGGCAAGUUCAUCGCGACGCUGUGGCUCCUGUUCAUUGUGCCUGAAAGGUUAUUCUCUGUUCAGUUUGGUCAUCACCGAAUCACCCAAACUGAAACUCAGAUGACUUUUAUAUGGCAGUGGCAAUGUUUCUGUGGUUUUGCACUAAAGACUUAAGGUCAUUAUGAAGAGUUUAAAAGGAUUGCUCUCGCAGGGGAGACCGUUUAUGACAUUGCUAAGUAUGGACCCCGAGGGGGAAAAAGCUCAUUCUGGAAUUGCUCUGUGGCGGUUGCUUCUGUUGUGAGUGUAUUCGGGUGUGGGUUGGUCCCAGCAGAAAUGGGCUCCACCACAAAAUUGAUAUUCCUGACUCAUGGUCAGGCAGAUGUGUGCUUCUGGUUAUUUUUCCAGGAACAGGAAUGGGCUCUGUCGAGCCUUUCACACGUUGUGUCUCUGCUGUGCGGGAUCAGUACCCGAGACUGUGAGAUAACAGGAUCGAAUUCAGGGGUUGGUUGGUGAUCCAGGAACCAUACCUACUUGGAUGUGAUACUGAGUGGCUUAGAUGUUGUAGGACUCUCAUAAGUUUUAGGCAUUUUGUUAUACUAUAAAAAUGAAGCAUAAUACGGCCUCGGUAGUAACAUUGCACUAAUAGGUAAUUAUUACUCUAGAGAAUUUUGGGUUCCAUGGCUGGAAUGUUCAUCAGUAUCUCAGCAAUUUCAGUUAAUAACCAGAUGAAGCUGACCUCUUGAGUCUUUUGAAAUCUGCUGGGUCCCUAUAAUAAGACAGGGUCUGGAUUUUUUAAUCUUUUGGGAAUUUCCACCAAGGAUUUAGGGAAAUAGGCUUAUUUAUGGGCUUUUCAGGAUUUCUAUUUCAAAUCCCAAUGAGGAAGUCUAGGAAACACUUGCUUUUAUUUUCUUACCUGAAUAUGUCAGAACCUUAAAUCACCCAAUCAAUCUAGAAGUACUACAGUUGAUUAAAGUAAGUCACCACAGGUCACUCAUUCGUGGCAGGUCAGCUAGGUGGCUGAUCACUGGAAUACAGUCAUAUCCCCAGGCAGACACACGAGCCUCACUUGACGAUCACAAAGUUUGUACAUCUGAGCUUGAGACGUGACAAGUUGAGGUCUCUGCUUUGUUCUUCAUAGUUGGCAGUUUGUCUCCUCGGGUGCCCCUCCGGUUAGCUGUUUAUCAUACGCCUAGCCCUUUCAACAGUGCAGGCAGCUUCCAGAGUAUAGUUUUCUCUGCAAAGUGCCUGGUGGAAGGGUACCUCCUUUUCCAUUGUCCUAAUGGCUCCAUUGGGCUUCCAUACCAGCCCUUUCCAGUGUCCUAACAGCUCAAAGAAACCCAUCUGUGGCUUUCUUGUUAGCACUGGCCUAUCAGACCUUCCUAUUGCCUGUUACUAAAAUUUUGCCUGGAAUGCUUUAAGCUUAGAGUACUGGGUCUUUGUUUUACCCGAUUGAUAGGAGAGUGUCAUGCAGUCAGCCGAACUCCGACUUCUGUGCUGUUUAAAUCCUUAGGUAGGUCUGGGGCAAGGCACAAACCACUGUGUAUUCAAAGGGUUAUGGUGCUUGCAUUCUGUGUGUAUAUGUUUGUAAUUUCCAACCAGAGUCGUUUCCCGUGCCUGCCCUGCCUCUGUGCAAUCUAGUCUAGUGGGGUAGGGAGGCAAGCUGUGGAGUUUGAAAAAAAAAAAAAAAACUG
rnacentral:sRNA from 1 species